GCCAAGUUAUUGCAACAAGGGAAGAUGUCUCUGUUUUCGGAAAUUUCUCAAUUACGCUUUGCUGCUGAGAGCUGGCACAAAAUAGUAACCCAGGAAGAUUUACAGAGACUGGGGAGUCUUCCUGUUCUCACCGGAUUCCUCGGGCAUUAUCUUAAACCAGCAGCCUUUCCAGGGACCGCGCUGGCGGCAUCUCACACCCCCCACGCGGAGCGGAGUCUCUGCCCUCCGUGCACGUGACUGCUCCAACACCACCCUCUCCCGGGGCCAAGGCACAGCCGGUGACGGCGCUGUGGAGAGGACCCCGCGGCGUGGCAUCCCUGAGUGUGGAAGGAGGACACUGUAAAAUACUUUCCUUGAAACCUGACUCUCGUGGUCCUUCAAGAACAUUUUGUUUUAGUUCUUUAUAUAUAACAUCCAGGCUGGAUUGAGACUUUUGUUGGACUUGAUUGGACUUUUGUUGGGGGAGUGGGAGGGAGUGUUUGGAGCUCUGGUAUUGUUUCGAGCACACAGGAAUAAAAACGGGAAGCUUAGUUUUGCUACCUGUAACCUA